rnacentral:rRNA from 1 species
UACGGGAGGCAGCAGUGGGGAAUAUUGCACAAUGGGCGCAAGCCUGAUGCAGCCAUGCCGCGUGUAUGAAAAAGGCCUUCGGGUUGUAAAGUACUUUCAGUCGUGAGGAAGGUGUUAAGGUUAAUAACCUUAGCAAUUGACGUUAGCGACAGAAGAAGCACCGGCUAACUCCGUGCCAGCAGCCGCGGUAAUACGGAGGGUGCGAGCGUUAAUCGGAAUUACUGGGCGUAAAGGGCACGCAGGCGGUUAAUUAAGUUGGAUGUGAAAUCCCCCGGGCUUAACCUGGGAAUGGCAUUCAAGACUGGUUAGCUAGAGUCUUGUAGAGGGGGUAGAAUUCCAUGUGUAGCGGUGAAAUGCGUAGAGAUGUGGAGGAAUACCGGUGGCGAAGGCGGGCCCCUGGGACAAAGACUGACGCUCAUGUGCGAAAGCGUGGGGAGCAAAACAGGGAUUAGAUACC